GGAGCAAUAAAUAAUAUUUAUCGUUUUAAAGAAACAAAAAUUAAUUAAGCAUAUUGGUUUAUAUCACCCGAGUUCCUUGAACCGGGUUAGCUGGUGGCUUUGGGUAAACCGACCCACGUACACCCGACCACCAAAGUCAGUGAUCUCGACGUGAUGAUUUUUCUUUCUUAUUCUCGCUCAAACUCUCGAUUUCUCGACUAGCCGAUACGUAUCGCCAUGGCCAGUGGGACUCCGUGUCGCGAUCUUUUCACGCCCGAUAACGAAUCGCCACCUUCUUUGAUUAACGUUUAUUCCUCGUUUAAGGUGCUACUUCCCGAAGGUCCAAUGUCAAAUGAAGGUAUUUCAGUAGCGUUCUGAAAAGCGUUCUAUGGCAACACUCGUCGCGAGUAUGGUUUAUCCAUACCGAGGCUGUUUUCUCGAACCUACGCUUACGGUCAAACGUUUUCAAAGCGAACCACGUAGUCGCCGCACUUGACGAAGAAGGAGUCAGGUCCGUGUCCGACCUAAUCGGCCCGGACGUCCUCGCGUUUUCGUGUCGCACACGCGCUCCAGCCGGCGGUUCCUGAUCGACUCUGGGGCCGAUAUUUCGAUUAUCCCGCCAUCCGCCGGACGGCUAUCUUUUUCGAAUGUGGCCCUUACCGUCGCUAAUGGCACCCAUAUCCGCACUUACGGUCGAAGGCUCCUCCAACUCGAAUUGGGACUUUUGAGGCCGUUUAGCUGGAGACCUUUGAGAUCGCCGGCGUUUCUAGAAGUAUUAUCGGCGCGGAUUUUCUCCACUGUUUUGGCCUUUUAAUCGGCAUUCGUCGUAAUCGCCUUAUCGAUUCGAAUUCCGAGAUCACGUCGAAAAUCGUCGUCGCGACGCCUGUGUGUGUGUAGUCACAGCAACGUAUGUGGACUGAUUCAGUCGCCGGUUUUCCGGGAAUUGCACGUAAAUAGCACAUAGUGUCGAGCGCGUUUUGCCAACGACCGGCCCUCCGUUAUUCGCUCGUCCUCGUCACCUCGAUCUGGAUCGCCUCGCCGCCGCUCGGAAGGAAUCCGUAGGCUAGUCCCAUUUUGCUGGUAGAAAGGAAGGACGGUUCAUUUCGCCCGUGUGGCGACUACUGAUGAUUGAAUACCGUUACCAGGCCGGACGUGUAGCAUCUUCCGCAUGAUUUCACAGGUAAUCUCUACGGUAAAACUUUAUUUUCAAAACUUAAUUCGGUAUGCGCAUACCUCCAGAUUCCUGUCGCACUAUGUGACGUGCCGAAAACCGCUGUGACGACACCUUUCGGUUUAUUUGAGUUCCCCGUGAUGCGUUUCGGUCUAAAAAACGCCGCACAGAUUUUUCAACGUUUCGUUAAUAACUUUCUCCGUGGUUUCGAUUUCGCGUUCGCUUAUAUCGACGACGUACUUAUCGCGUUACGAACCGUGCCCGAGCCUGGAGCACACUUGUGUGCUGUUCUCGGUCGGUUGCAGUAUUCUGGCAUAGCGAUUAACCUAAGCAAACGCGAAUCAGCUGAUCUUUCUCGGUCAUAUUAUCAGAGACGAGUGAAUUUAUUUUUCCCAAGGGGGAGGUAAUGUGACGUUUACCGCGCGCACGCUUGCAUGUACCUUUUCUAUGGCUAUUCCCAUCUUCACCGCGACGUUUUGCCGUUGUCGGACGAGGUUAGGACUAAAUACUAUCUAUAGUCGUGAUAAAAAGCUAUUAUAUUCGAAAUAACUGCCAAGACACGACGUUGGGUAGAAUUGUAUGCAGUUAGUAUGAUAUUAAUAUGUUACCGGAUCGCAAAUCACGAUACCGAGAUCUUAUCAUUAACGAAAAACUGUUUAAUAAUAAAUGCUAUAAUAAUUUCACAGAUAAAAUAAAUCAUUGGGAUACAAAGUAAAAUAAUAAUCAUCAAUAUUGUUACCUACCUUAGUUUAAAUGAUAGCGAAUUUAUCACUUAUAGCUACUGGUGUUUACAAAAAAAUGUAUUUCAAAAUUAAAUCCAAUAGGUAUUGAGACUUUAAGAAGUUAUAAUUCGCCAGCGGAUUGACGGAAAUUAAAAAUUUAAACAUCAAAAUUUAUAUUAAUUAAAACUCCAUCUAUUUAUGGAAUUUUUAAUAUAGGUUGCCUUUUGAAAAUCAAAAGUAGGUAGUCGUUUCACCCCUAAAAAUUUGGGUGAUAAAAAAUAAUAUAAAUGUUAAAUUUUAGAGCAGUUUAUUUCUUAAAUUUUCAAAGAGAGAAAAUAUUUUAAAAAGUAAAUAAUUUCCGAGAUAUCGAGUGUACCCACUUAAAUGAAUCUCGUGACAACCUCGUGACACAGCAAAUUUUUCGUUCAACAGGGAAAACUAUGCUGUUAGUUUAAAUAUUAGAGCAAAUUGACAAAUUGUAUCAUUGGUUUUUUUUCGUUAUUUAAAUUGUUAAGGGAGAUUUAAGCAUUUUUAAAUCGUGAUAUUUCACCCACUUAUGCCUUUUUUUUUAUUUAAAACUUACAAUCUGUAUUCACAAAAAAAAAAAUACAAUAAGUAAAUAUAAUGACUUAGUACAUAAAAUAAUAACAAUAACAUGGUAGCUUGAUGAGGGAGGCUAUCCAAUGAUAGAACCCUGCAAUGUCUUCCUUAAAAAUUAAAAUUACGGAAAAAAAAAAAAAAUGUCUACACAACAAAGAUAAUGUUUUUAUCUUUAAGUUUAAUAAUAAUAUUAUCAAUUGUAUAUUAUGCCAAUUCACUUUAACAAUAAAACUAACACAGAGUUGUCCUUGCUAAAUGAAAAUUUGUUAUGUUACGGGGUUAUAACUUAUAAUAUGAUGGAGACAGCACAUGCAGAUUCCUCAUGAGAUACCGUUUGUAACACUGGUGGGCAAAUACCAUUAAUAUUAAUUUUAAAACAAAUUCAUUGAAUUGAAUUAGUUAUAAAUCAGGAUUUUAGUGUACAAUUUUAAUAAAAAGCAUUUUUUUUUUUUUUUUUUUUUGUUUAUAGCAUAUUUGAUAUAAAUGAGAAUUUAAUGUUUAUUUGUACGCAUUAAAAUCAUUGUUAACGAAAACCAAUUCUGAACAGAGUUCGUCUAUACACGUUUUAAAACGCCGAACAACAAAAAUGUCGGAAUGGGGGCAUCUGACUCACGUUAUUAUUUGUUAAAAUAAAUAUAUAAUAACAUAAAUAUUUGGUAAUUGAAAUAUUUUUUAAAUAUUUGUAUCUAUAUUAUUAAAGCUAUCAUAAUAAGUAUUUACGUCAUACAUACCUACGUCCCGAACAGGUAUAAUAACAAUUAACAGAAUGUUGAAUAAUAUUAUAGAACAGCGAGGAUUAUUAAAAGUAUGAAUAAUAAUAUUUCAUUAUGAUCACAACAUUGUAUUUAUAAUUUAUUACAUAUUUUUUUACUUAUAAAAAUGAUUAAAAGUCUUCAUUAAAAUAUUAUAGAUAUACCUAUAAUAAGUUCAUUGGCCCGUGGUAACAUUUUCGUUUUUUAUCAUAUAAUGAUUUGUAAAAUCCUAAAUUGUGUUACCUAAACGAUUUUUUAAGAUGUCUGUUUUAGCUAUUGAAAGAAAUCUAUCAAAUGUCCUAAAUAAAAAGAAAAUUGUAAUCCUUACCUGACCUAACCUAACCAAAAUGUCACACACAACACAUUAUGACGACCAUGAAAUAAAUAACCAUAGUUUUAGUGCUUUUAACAAUUAAUGUAAUGUGCAGGUGGUGUGACGACCGACGAUGGAGUGUGGAGUGAUAAACCUUCCACUUAAUUUACUUAUUGUUAUAAAAUUGUAAAUGCUGAAGCCUUCCAAUUUAAAAGUUACGCCUAUAGUGGUCAUUUAAAUGUUAAAAAUCGUUUUGAAAUUUUACCAAAUCGGAAAAACGACACCGGGCCUCUUUACGAAUCGUGGCAAUUAUUUGAUUAUACUCUAGACUUUCCUCAUAGAAUGAAAAUAUAUGAAUAUAGAACACUAUAAUAUUAUUAUAGUUUUGUAUGAAAUUAUUAAAAAACAUUCGACGAUUACGCCAAUCACGCGUAUUCAUAUAUACCUGUAAAUGUACUAUUAUUAAUGAAAAUAUUUAUUUUCAAAAAAAAAAAAAUACAAAAAAUCGCUGCAAAAUGAGAAAUUCCACACUAUUUACGAAUUUUCGUUUAUAUAUUUUAUACACCCAAUAUUUGAUGACUACCAAUAUAUUAAACAUACUAUAGCUUACACGGCUAUGCUUUACUAUAGCUGAAUAAUUGUAUAAAUAAUAGGAAUAAUAAUAAUAGUGAUAGUUUUAUAGUCCAUGACGACCAGAUUAUCAUUCGUAUUUCAAAGGUAACCCUUGAAUAAACAAAAAGAAAUUAAUAAACGAUUUAAUAUUCGUACCGAAAAUACCUGAAAACCCCUAUUCACCCCUUUAUAGGUUGAAUUUUCAAAAUUUCUCUCUUAGUGGAUGCCUACGCCAUACUGGUAAAUCAGUAAGUCAGUCAGGACAUGUUAUUUUAUAUAUUAUACACCUAUAGGUAUUAUAAUGAUACAUAAAAUUACGUAUACAUUAUUAUUAGAUUAACAAUUUUUUUUUUUACUCGUUCAUAAUAAUGAUCCCAUAAUAACAUAAUCAGUACCCCGAGGCAUUAAUAUUAUUCUAUUUUUUAAGCCUAUUCAUUCGUUAGUAAUUAAUUAUUAAGAUUCGUUAGAUGUGUUGUAAUGCGUAUUAUAAUAAUAACAUAUUGUUAAUAUUUUAAAUUUGAAUAACUCGCGUCAUCAUCGCCCGUAGAAACAAUAAUAUAUAAAUAUUUUACACGAAAACAAGCAUUAACAACAUUGUAGACGUUAGGUAAAAAUAAUACUAAUUUGCAAAGAAACAUUAUUAUUCGUAUAAUUCAAGGUCGGUUACAUCUAAAUUCGCAUUUAAUUCAUUAAUUAUAAACUGCCUACAUUAUAAUACAGAUUUCUAACAAAAUUUUUAAACUAUUUUUAACUUCCGUUGACGAGAUAUUUCGCUUUUAAGAUUCGGCGGGGGGAGAGUUACUCUAAUUACUCUAAUGUAUAGUGGUGCAUCAUUUGUGUAGCCACAUGGCACGCGGCGUUGUAAUAGUGUUCUGCCAUUCUCCCCCGAUACCUAAACUUGAACGGAAAUCAAUAAUGUCAACACCAAAAUUUAUUUGAACUAAUGCUCCAUCUGUUUAUUAUCCUAUCAAAAGUAAGUAGUGGUUUUAACCAAUAAAAUAAAAGUGACAAACAAUAACCGAAAUAUAAUAUCUUAGGACAAUUUCUUAAAUGCUCUAAAAAAAACAAAUGUCGAAAAAAGUUAAUACUUUCCGAGAUAAUUAUGUCCAUUGCUCUGUAUGUAAUAAUAUUUAGUUUAUGUAUAAUUUUUUUAAUCUGAAUUAUUUAUAUAAAAUCAUACAAUAACCGGUAAGUUAAUAGAUUACCUUUUAUUUUUUAAAACAUGACCAUUUUCUUUGACGCCAAAUAAUAUUUUCACUUUUAGUUUUUUCUUUAUACAAUUUAAAAUAGAGCCAAGCACGUAUCUAAUAAUACUCUUAAAAUGGCUUAACGUUUUAAACAAUUUGUUUUGAAAAACAAUCAGUAAUCUCGAAGACGGCCUUCGUUUAAAUAAAAUUACUUAUCAUUGAAUUUGAAAUUGAAAAUAAAAAAAAAAAAAAAGAUGCUUAAAUUAAAUUCUUAUUAUCUUCGAUAUAACUAUACAGAUGUAUUGUGUGUACACACUUAAUAAGGUUACAUAAAAAUUAUGAAAAUUCCCAGUUAAUUAUACUGGUUAGUUACCCGCAUAAAAACAUAAAUUAAAAAAAAAGUGUUUAUUAUUUUAAAUUACCAAUAGGUAUAUUUCUUUGUUUAAAUCUUUAAAUGGAUCUAAAUUGUGUUUCAAAUUACUACACCAUUAAAAUAUUUUUGUAUUGUUAACAUUUUUUUUAAUUGUGUGAACCAGGGGUAAGGAUAUUAUAUAGAUCGUUAUUUAGUUCACCUUUGUGAAAUAUAUUUAUUUCACCAAAUAACGAUAAACAUUAUUAAUGAAAUACAAUUCUGGCGGCGUUUUAAAAUAUCAUGUUUUUAAUGAUUUUUGUAAAAAUGUAUACUUAAACGGAGCUUAUAAAUAAAAGCUACUACAAUUUUCUCAACUUUGCUAUAACCAACUCUAAGUACACCUUAUAAUGAAACUCGUGCAAAAUUGUUACGUAAUCUUGCUCAGACAAACAAUUUUAUCCGCAUAAAACCUAGACAAUUUAAAAUUCCUAUAAAAGUAUAGGUCGCAAGAAUGAUUUUGAAAAUUGACCACGUUUAGAAAAGGCAAUAUGCGUUCAUAAUUAUUAUUUCCAUUUGUCAGUAUCGAUCCGGCCUCGGCCGCCAGCUGCGAGUGGUCCUUGUUGUGUCUGCAGGGGGCCCCUCAGGACCCAAGAUUUAUAAAAUAUCGUCAUUUAACUACUGAAUGACUUUUGUGCAGAUUUUAAACAUAUGUAGGUAUACAGUAUUGUUUAGACUUUGGCUGACUAUUGCGCAUUGCAGUAAUAUAGUAAAAUAAAAUGUUUUAUUAAUUAUCGCGUGAACGAGUAAAUUUGCACAUACAUUACUGAAAACGGAAAUGUCACUAAAAAUCACUUUUGUCAAUAUAUCAUGUAUAUUGUACAUAUAUUCAUGCGUGUCGGUGUGAAUUCAUUAUUACUCUUAGAAAUAUUAUCGACUAAUGACAUCGACUUCCGGCUCAAUAUCGCAUUGAUUUAUUUGCAUGGCCUGUGUAUUUUUCAUCUAUAGUGUAUUAGACGGCAUUGAUUAUUAUAUUACUUAUUAUAAUUAUUAUAUUACAUUAGUAAAGGGGAUUUUAAACCCGAAUACUAUGAAUAAAUAAAAGUAUUCUGUAAAAAUUUCAGAUCUCUAUGAUUAUGAAACUGAAACUGCAUUAUUACCGUAAAGUUUUUGGUUUUUCAUUUUAUGAAAACUAAUUAGAAAAUUAGGAAAUGACCUUCUGGACCUAAUAGGUCCAGAAGGUCAUUGGGUCACGAAAUAUUUUUGAUGAGUUGUGAUGAAAGAAAAAUAUUAUGAUUAUAAUAUAAUAAAAUAGAAAAAAUAAAAAAUUUAUUAGUAAAAAUAAUAAGAAAAUAAAAAAAUGUGAAAAACCGAAAAAAAUGAAAGAAAAACUGAAAAUGUACGAAAUAUAAAUACUAUUUAAAAAAUAUUACGGCCUUCAUUUUUCUUAUGGACAACUUUUUUAUCAGAAUUUUUGCUCCGAUUUAUAAUGAUAGCAUUUUUUCUGAAAGGAAAUCCGACUGGGAAGGUGCUUUAAGGUCAUUUUUCGAUUUUUCCAAGGAAAUGUGAUAAACUGGGAAAAAUGGGAAAAUCGGUACAAUACUAAACAAAUAUUACUAAAAAAAUAUACAAUACCAAUUUAAUUAUUUUACCAUAAUAUGACAUAUAUAUAUAUCGUUAAAAAAGCAUCACUAUCAACUGAACUCCUCUCAGAAUCAUUUUUUUGCUAGCAAUGGUUCAUCAUUGCUUACAGAUAUACAUUAAAUUCUUUUCUGUAUCCUACACUCCCAACUUCCCACCAACAACAGUGGCAGUACUCCAAAAUUAUAAGGCAGCUUUUUUUGUUGUGAGUUGCAUUUCAAAAAAUAGUAAAUAUGUGGGUCACCAUAGCAAUAAGGUUGGGAACCACUGUUCUAGAUCACCAACUAGGUCAAAUAUUCUACGCAAAAACUCUCAUUUUAUUUUUUUUAUAGAGCCGAGAUGUCUGGUGGAAAAGUUAUUAAUUGAAAAAAAAAUAAGCACAUAUUAUCAUAGUAAAACCAAUACAUCUCUCUCUCCAUUAGGAAUCUAAAACAUUAAAUCAACCUAAAAUCUCAGAUUUUUACCAAAACUUGCCCAUCUUCGGCCAAAGUGAUAUCGUUUAUCAUUAGUAGGUAGGUACUAUAGAUAUUACCAAGUUUUUGGGCAAAGUCAUAAUACACUAUUUAUUGUUCGUACCUACAAUAUAUUGUUAUAUUAUAUUUCGCUAAAUAAUAAUUUUAUAUUGAUUAGGUAGUCAAUUUUUCACGCACCCUUGAAUAAUGAAGAAAAUAACUGUACGCGAAAAUAACCUAUAUAGGUUGAGAUACCAAUUUGUGAAAUAAUUUUGUAAAACGACUAGAUCAUUGUUCAAGAUGUCUUCUAGUUGUUCAAAAAACUUUCUUUGGACUACUAGGCCUAUGUCGUUUGCCAUAAGUGAAUUUCCUCGAUUCGGUUUCUACGAUUUCAGCGGUGUAAACGUUGAACAAAGCUAAUAAAACAACAGCAGUGGCCUUGCAUCUGAACAACCGUGAGGCAAAUAGAGAGCUAUGACUAAAAAUUGGUAAAGUCAAUAUUGCAAUUGAAGUAUGCUUUAGGUACCUUGGUAUUAAACUCAACGGGACCCUAACUUUUAGAAUAUACCUAGAAACAACUAAAAACAAAAUAAAAUCGUGAAACAACAUCAUAUCGAAACUAGCUGGGACUAGCUGGGGUUGUAUCGCAAGCCCCCCGAGGACCUCAAUACUAUCCUUAAUAUACAGUGUAGCUGAAUAUUGAGCUCCCGUACGGACAAGGAGUGCUCACUGUAACAAAAUAUACGUUCAACUAAAAUUCAGCGGUCCCCACCACGCGGCCCUUUAACAAAUUUAGUGCGACCCGUACUAAAAUUAAAUUAUCUAUUCUAAAAUCCAAAAUUCUAUAAACAGUGAAUAAAAUAAACAACGCUUUUUUACUUAUCUUAUUAUUUUUAUUUAUUUUAUCUUUCUAUUUUAAACUUAUAUUGAAUUACCAGUUGAACAGAUAAAUGAUACGGUUAUGAGUUUGUUAAUUUCCAUCGUGUAGUCUUAUAUGAAAAAUUUAUCUGUCAUCGUUUAUUGUCCGUUUGUAUUUUAUCGUUUGAUAUUUAUACUACGUAUUGUAGUUGUAAUAGUUAAUUCUGUGAGUAAGCUGUUCAAAACGUAAAAUCGAUAAUGAACACAGAAUAUUUCAAAAUAGUUGGGAAAUUGAAUUUUUCUGUAUUUUUGGUAAGAAACACGAUGCUUUAUGUUUAAUUUGUCGUAAAACCAUAAGUAUUUAGUAUUCUAAAACGUUAUAAUAUUAAUCGUCACUAUACAACUCAUAAUAUUGAAUUUUCUAAAAAUUAUCCCCUCCCAGAUAGGGGGAGAUCUUAUUUUAGAUAAAAUAAGAGAAGAAAAACUAGUUGAAUGAAAAAAAAGGAAUUUUUUCUGAAAACAACCAUGUUACGGUUCACUAAUAAAAAUGAAAUUGCAACAAAAGUAUCGUAUGAAGUAAGACAUUUGUUAGCCAAAAGCAUGAAACCAUUUUCGGAUGCUGAACUAAUAAAAAAUCGCAUGGAAACAGUUGUAAACACUCAGUUUUGAAUUUUUCCAAUUUUAUAGAAAUAAGUAACCGAACUUGUGACCAAAUUAAUCAAUACACUAAAACAAAACACUGAAAUCAUGAGUUACCAAAUUAUUAGUUAAUAAGUUUAAAUCAUUAUCAUUAUUUUUUUUUCUCUUUAUAUUAUAAUUAUUAUUUAUUAUUAAUUAUUAUUAUUAUUUAUUUUGUUCUGAGCGGAGUUCGGUUAAUAGUGUUGCUUUGUCAACAAUAUAUAUUAUGUCACAUUAUGGUGAAAUAAAUACAUUUGAGUUAAAUAUUUUUUUUAACGAGUUUAUACAAAAUCUAUUUUUCCGUUUUUUCUGCGUUUUUUUCCACCGGUUUUUCCCAUUUAUUGGGAAAACUCCUAGGAAAAUCAAAAAAAACACCUCUCUAAAGUAACUCCUCAGUCAUUACAUAAAAGAAAAGGGUGAUUGACCUAAUUUAGCUAUAACUACGUUAAAAAUGUCCAAAUAAUAAUGGUGGUUCUACGCUUUACAAAAUCAGUUAUUAGUGACGUUGUUAUAACAUCUAUUAUUAGAUUAAUAAUUGUUGAUAAUGAAGAUAACUAUAUAAACUUGUAUGAUAUCGUACUUAACGUGUAACGAAUAUUAUGAUUUGUAGUUUUAUAAGCCUUAAUUCGCUAUGAAACCUGAUGCAUGUUAUUCUUAUUAACUACCUAAUAUUAUAUAUUAUAUUAAGUAUACACAAUUGUAACACCUUUUAAAAACAAAAUGCCUGAUAAUAACUAAAUAAUAACAGUUUUAGAUUUAAAGUAAUAAUUUCGAGAAAAUUAGAAUCUAACAACAUAUAUACUGUGGACUUUUGUUGUAUUAACCAGCGACGUCAAAGCCGGGAGAGGGUGUUAAGUUACUAAUAACCCGUUUCCUACCACCACCAAAAUGUCUGCGAAAAUUACUUUUCAAGUAUUUGAAAAGUGCAUCAUAUUGCAGGUAUUUGUUAGCAUCGUGAAAAUUACAUUUUAAAAUAUCUAUAUAAAGAUAUAAUAUAAUUUCUGAAAUAAUUAUCUAGAUGAAAACAAAAGAUAUCUACAUAAAAAUUAUUUAAUUAUAUAGAUAAAAAAAUUAUUAUUAUUUAUUAUUAUUUUGUGCAUUAUCUAUCAUAAAACUAAGUGCUAAAAAGUAAAAUAGUUAAAAUACGUAUACCAGACUUGAUUUCAUGAAGGUUAAUUUAUAUGUGUUAUUGAUGUAAAUUAAUUAUUUAUUUAUUAAACCAUAUUAAUGUAAAUUAAUUAAAAUUAAUUAUAUUACCUAUUAAUACUUCUAACAAAUAUAUAGAUUAUGGUUUAAAAAUAUGUAACUAUAGAUACAUCUAUAUAAAUAAUUCCAUUAUUUAUCUCAGAUAACUUAGUCCACAUUUAUCUAGAUAAGUUAAAAUAUCAUAAUAUAUCUGCCUAUCUAAAUAAUUUAUCUAGAUAAAAUCCAUUACUACUAUAUGUAAUUAAAUAAUUAAAUGCGGAAAUAGGACCACUAUGAUGAGGCUACUCCAGGUCAUUGAUAAUAUAUAUUUACUCCCUGGAAUCAAAUUUGUGUUGUGGAGGUAAAUAUAUCCUAGUAUAUUUAUUUUUACCGGAGUAAUUUAAUUUACUACUGUAUUUUUACUUCCUUAUAUAACUGUAAUAGUAGUAAAUAUAUCCUUGGAUAUUUUUACUGAAAGGGGUAAAAAUAUAAUGUUACACUGGUCGUCUUGGAGAUUACUAUCCGUACAAUAGAGUGAAAUUGUAUCUUACUGGGCCUAAUAAAUGUUGUAACAUACGUAUUUAUAAUAAUUGUGGCUCGUGAAUUAAUAAUAAAACAUCACAUCCCCGAUUAAAAAGUGACAAAUCUCCAAAAAUACAAUAUUUUAUAUCUUCAAUAAUCUUAUGUAUUUUUUAUAAUAUUUUUACAUUUCAUAUUAUCGAACGUGAUAUUUUCUCCAUUUACUAAUUAAAAACUAUAAUAAACCUAUGGUUUAUCUUAACUUAUCUUAUACAAUAAAAACAUGCUAUUUAUUUAGGUUUAUUCUCGAUUUGCCGAAAUCCGGUUUUUCAAGCAAAAAACCAGUUUUUAAUAGUUUUUAAAAAAAACCUAAUUCGCCUCCAACGAUGGUAAUUUCCUAAAAGUAAUUAACACAACUUUAAGGUAUAUACUCGUACUAUCUACUAUCUAGACUACUAUCUAUCUAUCGUUAUACCAAACACACGAUUAUUCACAUCGAUCAGUACAAUAUUAUUAUAUUUUAUAGUUAUCUAUAUUCCAUAUACAGAAUAUAAAUAAUCGAAAAGUUCAUUGACCACUGCGGUUUUUAGAUAAAAAUAAUUUUAAUUUGUUUAGUAGUAUAGUAUAACACGGUAAAACAUACCUACAACAUUAUGCGUGUUAUUAUACACACAUUUUUUUAUUUCAUUUUUUCGCCGUUUUUUUUUUUAAAUUAUGUUUCAGAUUAAAAUGAAACGAAGUAUAAUUCAUAUUGAUUGAUGGAAUUGUAUUUAUUUUUACUUUUUUUUAUAAUAUCAGAUAUAUGUAUUUAUUGUAUUAUGUAUAUGUAUAAUAUAAAUACAAUUAUUUCAUUAAUUUUAUUAAAACUUGGUGAAUACUGACUAUCGGCGAAUUGCGUGUCGACCAACUGGAAAAUCGCCUUCAUUUGUAUUACAUAUACAUAUAGUUCUAUAAUUUGAUAUGAUACGAUUAUUAUUUCCACGGGUCGAAUGCGCGCGUGUUAUUAUGAAUUUAUAAUGACGGCUUAUUGAAGCGUCGACAAAAACAAUCCGGGUGAAAAAUAACCUGAAUUAUGUUACGCAAUUUUAAAAAACCGACAACAUUUACGACGAGUAUUGUAUAGUACACACGGAGUCAGCGACUAAGACCUUUACGGUUAAACAUUUUGUAAUUAUUCGAUUUUUCUUUUAGGAACCUAUAUUUUAUUAAUUUAUACUCUGCGUUUCUCACUCGAUAAGUCACGAACAUAAUUAAAGAAAGAAAAAAAAAACUCCUAGGUCGUAUUUGAUUAUUCUAAUAAAAUAAACAAUCGGCCGGGAACUCGUUGUUCAAGGAUUUCCGACCGAAAUUCUGCACGAAGGUCUCUGCAUGUCUCUCUGUGUCAGCUGUUCAACAAUCAACUCUAUAUAUGGCGUACAGACUUCUGAAUUUAUUAUUGCGUAUAAUAUGUACUCACAUAAAUUGUAAACUGCAACAAAAUCUGAAAAAUCAUCCAUGUACCACCGAAAACAUAAUGUCAUGGAGCCAAUUAAAGGCAAGUGAAUAAUUACAAUAUACAUAUAGGUAAACGUGCGCUGACAACAAUAAACUAAUAUAGUUUUAUUUAUUUUUUUUUUACUUCCAACUAUUUUUUUGUGAUAAACGUAUAGUAAUAAUAACAGUUUUUUUUUCAGAAUAAUAUACUCGUAUUGUUACCCAUACCAGGGAUGUACAACUGGCGGCCCACAGGACUCAUCCGACCUUUUAUAUCUGGCCCGUGCUGCAGUUGUAAAUUGCUUUAUACAAUUGUUAGCGUUUAUCUGUAUUUUAUGUUAUUACGUUAAUUGUAAAUAAAUCCUCGUCCUCAAAUAAAU